rnacentral:misc_RNA from 1 species
GAAAUGCGAUAAGUAAUGUGAAUUGCAGAAUUCAGUGAAUCAUCGAAUCUUUGAACGCACAUUGCGCCCGCCAGUAUUCUGGCGGGCAUGCCUGUCCGAGCGUCAUUUCAACCAUCAAGCCCCCGGGCUUGUGUUGGGGACCUGCGGCUGCCCGCAGGCCCUGAAAACCAGUGGCGGGCUCGCUGUCACACCGAGCGUAGUAGCAAUCACCUCGCUCAGGGCCUGCUGCGGGUUCCGGCCGUUAAACAGCCUUACAAAACCCAAGGUUGACCUCGGAUCAGGUAGGAAGACCCGCUGAACUUAAGC